UGGGGAAUCUUGCACAAUGGGGGAAACCCUGAUGCAGCGACGCCGCGUGAGCGAUGAAGGUUUUCGAAUCGUAAAGCUCUGUCCUAUGGGAAGAUAAUGACGGUACCAUAGGAGGAAGCCCCGGCUAACUACGUGCCAGCAGCCGCGGUAAUACGUAAGGGGCGAGCGUUGUCCGGAAUUACUGGGCGUAAAGGGUUCGCAGGCGGCAUGACAAGUCCGAUGUAAAAGGCGAAAGCUCAACUUUCGUAAGCAUCGGAAACUGUCAAGCUUGAGUGAAGGAGAGGCAAGUGGAAUUCCUAGUGUAGCGGUGGAAUGCGUAGAUAUUAGGAGGAAUACCGGUGGCGAAGGCGACUUGCUGGACUUCAACUGACGCUGAGGAACGAAAGCGUGGGUAGCAAACAGG
rnacentral:rRNA from 1 species